rnacentral:misc_RNA from 1 species
GAUGAAGAACGCAGCGAAAUGCGUUAAGUAAUGUGAAUUGCAGAAUUCCGUGAAUCAUCGAAUCUUUGAACGCACAUUGCGCCCCCUGGUAUUCCGGGGGGCAUGCCUGUCCGAGCGUCAUUGCAACCUUCAAGCGCGGCUUGUGUGUUGGGUCUCGUCCCCCGUGGACGGGCCCGAAAGGCAGUGGCGGCGUCCCGACAUGGUGCCCGAGCGUAUGGGAAUCCUCUUCCGCUCGAAUCGGCCCAUGCGGCGCUGGUCGUAACCAAAUUUUUUACCGGUUGACCUCGGAUCAGGUAGGGAUACCCGCUGAACUUAAGCAUAUCAAUAAGCGGAGGA